rnacentral:rRNA from 1 species
GCUAGUCGUGCGCCUCCAAGCCAUGGUGGAGGCGCGGCGCACAGCUCAGUAACACGUGGCUAACCUACCCUUGGGACGGAAACACCCCCGGGAAACUGGGGCUAAUUUCCGAUAGGUGAAGAACCCUGGAAUGGAUCUUCGCCCAAAAGGCGUUUAGACCAUGCUUCUAAACGCUGCCCAAGGAUGGGGCCGCGGCCGAUCAGGUUGUUGGUGAGGUAACGGCUCACCAAGCCUUUAACCGGUUCGGGCCGUGAGAGCGGGAGCCCGGAGAUGGGCACUGAGACAAGGGCCCAGGCCCUACGGGGCGCAGCAGUCGCGAAAACUCCGCAAUACGCGAAAGCGUGACGGGGUCAUCCCGAGUGCCGUCCGCUGAGGAUGGCUUUUCCCCAGUGUAAACAGCUGGGGGAAUAAGGAGAGGGCAAGUCUGGUGUCAGCCGCCGCGGUAAUACCAGCUCUCCGAGUGGUGGGGACGUUUAUUGGGCUUAAAGCAUCCGUAGCCGGCUGGGCAAGUCCCCUG